UCCUUAGCUUGCUAGGAGGCGUCGAGCGGCGGACGGGUGAGUAAUGCAUAGGAAUCUGCCCGGUAGUGGGGGAUAACUUGAGGAAACUCAAGCUAAUACCGCAUACGCCCUACGGGGGAAAGCAGGGGCUCUUCGGACCUUGCGCUAUCGGAUGAGCUUAUGUCGGAUUAGCUGGUUGGUGAGGUAACGGCUCACCAAGGCGACGAUCCGUAGCUGGUCUGAGAGGAUGAUCAGCCACAUCGGGACUGAGACACGGCCCGAACUCCUACGGGAGGCAGCAGUGGGGAAUAUUGGACAAUGGGGGCAACCCUGAUCCAGCCAUGCCGCGUGUGUGAAGAAGGCCCUCGGGUUGUAAAGCACUUUCAGCGAGGAAGAAUGCUUGUCGGUUAAUACCCGGCAAGGGAGACAUCACUCGCAGAAGAAGCACCGGCUAACUCCGUGCCAGCAGCCGCGGUAAUACGGAGGGUGCGAGCGUUAAUCGGAAUUACUGGGCGUAAAGCGUGCGUAGGCGGCUUGAUAAGCCGGUUGUGAAAGCCCCGGGCUCAACCUGGGAACGGCAUCCGGAACUGUUAGGCUAGAGUGCAGGAGAGGAAGGUAGAAUUCCCGGUGUAGCGGUGAAAUGCGUAGAGAUCGGGAGGAAUACCAGUGGCGAAGGCGGCCUUCUGGACUGACACUGACGCUGAGGUACGAAAGCGUGGGUAGCAAAACAGGAUUUAGAUACCCUGGUAGUCCACGCCGUAAACGAUGUCGACUAGCCCGUUGGGGUCUCUUCGAGACCUUUGUGGCGCAGUUAACGCACUAAGUUCGACCGNCCUGGGGAGUACUGCCGCAAGGUUAAAACUUCAAAUGAAUUGACGGGGGCCCGCACAA
rnacentral:rRNA from 1 species